rnacentral:rRNA from 1 species
UACAGGGGGGGCAAGCGUUGUUCGGAAUUACUGGGCGUAAAGGGUCUGUAGGUGGCUUGCUAAGUCAGACGUGAAAUCCCUCAGCUUAACUGGGGAACUGCGUCUGAUACUGGCGAGCUUGAGUGCAGGAGAGGAACGCGGAAUUCCAGGUGUAGCGGUGAAAUGCGUAGAUAUCUGGAGGAACACCGGUGGCGAAGGCGGCAUCCUGGACCGGGUAUUGACGCUGAGGCGCGAAAGGCUAGGGGGAGCAAACGGG